AAAGAUUAAGCCAUGCAUGUCUAAGUAUAAACAAAUUUAUACAGUGAGACUGCGAAUGGCUCAUUAAAUCAGUUAUAAUUUAUUUGAUAUUCACUUACUACUUGGAUAACCGUGGUAAUUCUAGAGCUAAUACAUGCAAUGAAACCCGGCUUCUGGAAGGGUUGUAUUUAUUAGAUAAAAAACCAAUGCAGGGGCAACCCUGGUUACUUGGUGAUUCAUAAUAACUAAACGAAUCGUACGGCCUAGCGCCAACGAUGAUUCAUUCAAGUUUCUGCCCUAUCAACUUUCGAUGGUAAGGUAUUGGCUUACCAUGGUUA
rnacentral:rRNA from 1 species